CUACGGAGGAUCCGAGCGUUAUCCGGAUUUAUCAGGUUUAAAGGGUGCGCAGGCGGAACUGUAAGUCACCGGUGAAAUCCUACAGCUUAACUGUAGAACUGCCGGUGAUACUGCGAUUCUUGAGUAUAGUUGAGGUAGGCGGAAUGUGUAGUGUAGCGGUGAAAUGCAUAGAUAUUACACAGAACACCGAUUGCGAAGGCAGCUUACUAAACUAUUACUGACGCUCAUGCACGAAAGCGUGGGGAGCGAACAGGAUUAGAAACCCCAGUAGUCC
rnacentral:rRNA from 1 species